UGAUGUAAGGGUUUCAAGCUCAAAGGUCGUUCGUGCUUGCACGAAAAGAGCUUUGAAUUUGAAAGCCGCCAAACACGAGCAAGAAGCGUGAAACGCGUAUUGCGAGUUUUUGCAGAAUUGCGUCAGCAAUUCGUGACAUCA
rnacentral:sRNA from 1 species